UUUGACGCACGCCGCAUAUAUGUACUGUAGUGUCAGGUUUGUGUGGUUGGACAAAAGGGAGGUUUCCUUUUAAUAGUGCGUGCACUCUUAUGCUCUGACACAAGAGAAAUCUUAAUUCGAUGGGAUAGGGUGUCAGAGGGCAGCCACAUCAUCCUAUACUAAGCUUAUGAGGCGCCUCUUGGAGAGUACCCUUUCUGGAUGUGUUUAAACACUCAUCCGGAAGGCUUUGAGUGUUCCGUCCCAUAAUAAAAGUGGAGAUUUUCUCAGGUCGAGAUAAGCCUCGUCUCGGACGCGAGUCUUAUGAGCUUUUAGAUGGACUUGGGCCCAUCCUUUCGUUUAGGCUAAACCUCUCCUCAUGGAAAGGCUUUUAACCAAGCCAUAUUAGGCUAAUUUGAACCUCUCCUAUUAUUGUUGAUAUAUGUAGAAUGAGUAGAUUUUUUUUUUAAUAAUGUGUAUUUUAUCUACUUUUUUGAUUAAUUUUUUUUUAAUAAAUUGAUUAAUAUCUUUUAAUAUUAUGUAGAAGUUACUAGUGAGACAACAUUAUCCUUUGGAAAAAGAAAGAGAUAAUUAUAUAAGAGAUCAUUUUUUGUAAAAAAUUUAUACGUUUACGUUUAAUAUUUUUAUAAUUUUCCAACAAAAUUAUAUGAAAACAACAAAAAAAUUAUAUAAAAGUAACAUAAAAAUAACACCUAAAUAAUAUCAAAAUAACCAUAAAAGAUAACAUACAGAUAAUAAAAUAUCGACAACAAAUUAACAAGAGUACAAUAUAAAAAAUCGUAUUUUUGUAAAUAAAAUAAAAAAAAUCGUAAAAAUAUUUAAAAUUCUGUGAAACCGUAUUUUUGUAAUUUUUUUUAUUAUUUUUGUGUAUUUGUGAAAUAAUUUCAAAAAGAAAAGAAAAGAAAUCUUAAAAAGGAAAAACAGAAAAGCCCACAGCAGAAGCCCAUAAUGUUAGGGUUUCUUAUUUACUCAUUAUAUAUAUGAAGAGGCUAUUAUUUCUACUACAAUCAUCGUCUUCUUCUUCCUCUUCACUAAAGAUUUAAGUCGAUGUUAGGGUUUAUUCAAUGUGCUGAGUACAUCACCCACUGUUUUUUUUCCUCUCAAUGAUAUGGUUUUUGGAUUUCUAUCUAAUGAGUAUUUGAUCGGAAUAACGUUCACAAGACAAGUAUUGCUAUUUUAUUUUCCUGUUCUAUACUAAGCUUUAAGUGUUUAUGUUAUUUUUCAUUUCUGAAAUCAGAUUCAAAGAUAAAUAUUGAAACUGUCAAAUCCCAGUUGCUCCAUCCAUCUAUUCAGCAUCUGGAAUCCAUUAGCCAUUGCUUAUAUCAUAGUGGCCGCCAAAGAGCUUUCGCCUUAGCCAGGUUUGAGAGCUAAUGCAGUUUUAUCCUUCCUUGGAUGUCUGAGACAAUACAUUGUGAUUUUUUAGAAGUGGGUUGGUUUGUUUUGCUGGGUUGAUCUUGGUUUUAUAUGUUAAUAUCUGUCUUUUGUGGAUAGCUUUUGUUACCUAUGUCAGUUAUUAUUUGAUUUGGUUUUCUUCAGUCAAUUUUGUCCAUGAUGAUAACUUUAAGGCUUGUUUCUCAAAACAUUCGCAGUGGCCGCCAAAGAGUUUUCGCCUUUGCCAGGCUUGAGAGCUAAUGCAGCUUUAUCCUUCCUUGGAUGUCUGAGGCAAUACGUUAUAAUUUCUUAGAAGUAGAUUGGAUUGUUUUUGGGGUUUUUGUAUUACAUUAUUUGCAGUUUUUAAUUGAAAAAGCCAAUUUGCAGAGCAAAAGCGUCGAUUAAUAUGAUGGCGCAGUUUGCAUUGAAGGUUGGCAAUAUCAAAUUCAGUAUGCGAUUCUCCGUGCCUAUCAAAUUAAUUCAGUUUUGAUUAUGGCCUCGAACAAGUCGCUACAUUUCAAUCUACUUAAUAUUGCUUUACUUUUCUCAAAUAUAUGGAUAAAAUAUAGUGUGAAUUAUGUAUAACUGAAGCUGGUGUCUCAACUGCAGCCCAACCCAAGAUGUAACGAUUUUUCUGCUUAUGUAAAAAAAUUUUGUACCAUUUUUAAGCAGGGGAAGUCAAUUAGUAAAGAAGAGCAGUGAAGAGAAAAGACUAUCAGAGAAGUGGUCAACUAUAUGUACCUAUUGUUUUACACAUUUGAUGUUUUUUUGAGAUCAGAUAGUAUUUUUUUUUGGGUGAAAUUGCUAUGUUAAUUAUGUGCUUUGCUUUUCUUCUUCCAAAUUUAUCCAUGAUGAUAACUCUAAGGCUUGUUUCUCAAAACAUUCGCAGUGGCCGUCAAAGAGCUUUCGCCUUCGCCAGGCUUGAGAGCUAAUGCAGCUUUAUCCUUCCUUGGAUGUCUGAGACAUGAUACAUUUUAUGGUUUCUUUACAUUAUCAAAAAAAGAAUGGUAGAUUGGUUUGUUUCUGUUGAUCUUGGUAUUUUGUGCUAUGUCCUAUAUGUGCUUUGUUUAUAUCUUUUGUUACCUAUGUCAGUAAUUAUUAUGUACGUUUUUCUUCUGUCAAUUAUGUCCAUGAUGAUAAAUCUAAGGCUUGUUUCUCAAAACAUUCGCAGUGGCCGCCUAAGAGCUUUCGCCUUCGCCAGGCUUGAGAGUUAAUGCAGCUAUAUCCUUCCUUGGAUGUCUGAGACAUGUAUCAUUCUGAUUUCUUAGUAGUAGAUUGGUUUGUGUUUGUUGGGCUGAUCUUUUUGUUUUAUGUUAAUAAUAUCUAUCUCUGGUUUGUGAAAAGUUUUUGCGGCCUAUGUCUAUAUUUAUUUGGUAUGGUUUUUUUUGUCAAUUUUGUCUAUGAUGAUAACUUUAAGGCUUGUUUCUCAAAACAUUCGCAGUGGCCGACAAAGAGCUUUCGCCUUCGCCAGGCUUGAGAGUUAAUGCAGUUUUAUCCUUCCUUGGAUGUCUGAGACAAUACAUUAUGAUUUCUUAGAAGUGGAUUGGUUUGUUUUGCUGGGUUGAGCUUGGUGUUUUUUUGUUAAUAAUCUAUCUGUGUUUUGUGGAUGAUUUUUGUUACCAAUGUCAGUUAUUGUUUGAUUUUGUUUUCUUCAGUCAAUCUUGUCCAUGAUGAUAACUCUAAGGCUUGUUUCUCAAAACAUUCGCAGUGGCCGCCAAAGAGCUUUCGCCUUCGCCAGGCUUGAGAGCUAAUGCAGCUUUAUCCUUCCUUGGAUGUCUGAGACCUGAUUCAUUAUAAUUUCUUUGUAGAUUGGUUUGAUUUGUUGGGUUGAUAUUGGUAAUAUCUAUCUGUGCUUUGUGGAUGGAUAACAUUUGUUGCCUAUGUUAUUAAUUAUGUGCUUUGAUUUUCUGUAGUUAAUUUUGUCCAUGAUGAUUACCCUAAGGCUUUUUUAAUCAAUUCAUUUGCAGUAGCUGUCUAAUAGCUUGUCUUUGCUAGACUUUGAGAGAUAAUGCAGCUUUUGUCUUUGCCAGGCUUUGAGAGCUAAUGCUGCGUUAUCCUUCCUGAACUUCAAUUAUAUUUUGUUUUAUGUAGUUUGAUUGGUGUUUGACAUUUAUGGCUAAAUCUAUUUGCUUAGGGAUUGCUUUGGUUUCCUAUGUUAAUAACUCUAAUUCUUUUUUCUCAUUACAUUUACAACGGUUACCUAUCAGUUUUUGCCUUGCAGCUUUAUCUUUCCUUAGAUCUGAGUUGUAGUUUAUUAUAAUUGUCUCAAGUCUGAGGCUUGAGCUUCUGUUUUCGCUGGUAUGGAGAAUUUCCUUUGGUGCCUGAUAUUAAAUUGUUUUCUUGUUUUUGUUUAUGUGGCUUCAGAGUUUUGUGAUUUUUUUUUUGUUACAUUGUUUGUGGUGAUGGUAAUAGUUUUUUUAUUAUUUAGCAUAAUUUUCUUCUUUUUUGCCAUUUUUAAAUUGCCAAAUCAGUAUUUUUGUUCUGUUUCUUGGGGUCUUGUCGUUUGCCCCUUCAGUAGUUUUCUGAGUGCUGUAGGGAAGAGAAGACCCCCAUAUCCAUGUUCAUCCUGUUCACUUUGUCAGCCGACUUUUAUGUCUUUCUGAUCAUUUAUGGAUGGUAGAUUUCGUUUUUAAUUGUACAAAUUUGUGUUUUGAAUUUCUCUUAAUUUUUUGUUCUUAUUUUUUUUUGGUGCUUUGAAUCAUUUGAAGUUGAAAAUUACCUUCUAAUUUGGUAAUCCUAUAAUUUGUACAGCUUUUCAAUUACCUUUUUUGAUAAAUGGUUUUUGCUAAACUUGCAUUGAUAUGAUUGUUUUCGUGUUUUUGCUAGUAUUUGUGGCAUUUGGGGUUGUGAUUUUUCCAUCAGAAAAUUAUAAGACAAUUUUUUGAUGAAUGCUUGAACUUGCAUGGUGGUGAUGGGUUUGCUUUGUUAAUGUAAUGUAAUGUAAUUUAUUGAUGUGUUUAGAACAAGCCUAGAUGUCAUAACUGAAGUUUACUCAAAUAUAUGUAUAGGAUUUUGUAUGUUGUUACAUAGUUGCCUUUCCUUUAUUCACAUUCUCAUGUUUGUUUCUAUACAUUAUUUAGAGUUUUUAAUAGAAAAAAGCCAAUUUGCAGAGCAAAAGCGUCAAAUAAUAAGAUGGCCCAGUUUGCAUUGAAGGUUGGCGAUAUCAAAUUCAGUAUGCGAUUCUCCGUGCCUAUCAAAUUAAUUCAGUUUUGACUAUGGCCUCGAACAAGUCGCAACAAUUCAAUCUACUUAAUCUUGCUUUUCUUUUUUAUCAUUUAUAUGGAUAGGAAAUAGUGCUAAUUAUGUAAAACCAAGGCUAUUGCUACAGCAAAACCCAAGAUGUACAAUUUUUCCUACUUACAAGAAACUGAGACUGGUGUAACAUGUUAACUACAACACAACAGGAUUUACCUUUUGUUAUUGA